AGUAAUUUUCACUUUUCACUGAUCCAAAGGAGGUCACGUGGGAUUGCUUGAAAAUGGCGAAACGAAACUUGUGAAUCGUGCAUUUGCUCUUCUUGGUAGCUGCCAGAAAAUCGAAUCAAGCUUAUGGGACACUGGAUUACAGGUUGCUGCCACUACUCCAUGUGCCCGCAAUUGUCUUGCGUGUAUGAUUACACUAACGGCGUCGCCCACCACGGCGGAAGUGUUUUGCGUACACGCGUUUCAGCAUGAAGCCUGCAGGUGGAUGUAAAUUGUAGAAGGCAGCUAGUGGGGGAGAAGAUCAUGGUCAUAGGUCAUGUGACUCCUGGAGCUCCCAGUGGGCUCCCUUGUGGAGUACUUUUCAGAACACACACACAUACAGUUUGCUCACAGAACCAACGAGUAGGAUGUUGCUUGAAUACUGAGAGAAAAUGGCGUAACACAUACAAAUAUCGUGUGACACAUAUGACAAUAAAAACAUUUUUCACGAGGGAUGCAUGAAACACUGUCGCAAUAUUGUGUGCAUGAACCAUUGUGUGUGACACAAGCCGUGGGGGCACACCGCCUCGGACACAUUUUGGGAAGCAUAAAACACAGUAUAUACAGAGCUAGUAUGGUGGAUGCUUCUUUUUUCUUUUUGGCCGUUAUGAGACAUCUUCGGCCGUAAUGAGACUACCUUCGGCCGUAUUGAGACUUUGGCCGUAACGAGACACUUGGGGAUUAAAGGAUUUUCGGCCGUAAUGAGACUUUCGGCCGUAAUGAGACUUCGGCCGUAAUGAGACUCGGGCCGUAAUGAGAUGUUA